GACGAACGCUGGCGGCGCGCCUAAUACAUGCAAGUAGGACGCAGUUGCGAACGGGUGAGUAACGCGUAGGUAACUACCUAUUAGAGGGGGAUAACUAUUGGAAACGAUAGCUAAUACCGCAUACUAGUAGAUGGACCUGCGUUGUAUUAGCUAGGAGGUAGGGUAAUGGCCUACCUAGGCAACGAUACAUAGCCGACCUGGGAGGGUGGUGGGCCACACGGGGACUGAGACAAGGCCCAGACUCCUACGGGAGGCAGCAGUAGGGAAACUUCGGAAAUGGGGGGAAACCUGACCGGGCAACGCCACGGGAGUGAAGAAGGUUGUCGGAUCGUAAAGCGCUGUUAUUAAGGAAGCGGUACUUAACCAGAAAGGGACGGCUAACUACGUGCCAGCAGCCGCGGUAAUUC
rnacentral:rRNA from 1 species